GAAUGGCUCAUUAAAUCAGUUAUCGUUUAUUUGAUAGUACCUCACUACCUGGAUAACCGUGGUAAUUCUAGAGCUAAUACAUGCUAAAAACCUCGACUUCGGAAGGGGUGUAUUUAUUAGAUAAAAAGCCAACGCCCUCCGGGGCUUUCUGGUGAUUCAUAAUAACUCAACGAAUCGCAUGGCCUUGCGCCGGCGAUGGUUCAUUCAAAUUUCUGCCCUAUCAACUUUCGAUUGUUGGGUAGUGGCCAACAAUGGUGUUUACGGGUAACGGGGAAUUAGGGUUCUAUUCCGGAGAGGGAGCCUGAGAAACGGCUACCACAUCCAAGGAAGGCAGCAGGCGCGCAAAUUAUCCAAUCCCGACACGGGGAGAUAGUGACAAUAAAUACUGAUCUGGGGGUCUUUAGGCUCUCAGAAUUGGAAUGAGAACAAUUUAAAUCCCUUAACGAGGAACAAUUGGAGGGCAAGUCUGGUGCCAGCAGCCGCGGUAAUUCCAGCUCCAAUAGCGUAUAUUAAAUUUGUUGCAGUUAAAAAGCUCGUCGUUGAAACUUGGAUCUGGUCGGUCGGUCCGCCUUAUCGCGUGCACUGAUUCGACCGGAUCUUUCCUUCUGGGGAAGCGCAUGCCCUUUAUUGGGCGUGUCGGGGAACCAGGACUUUUACUUUGAAAAAAUUAGAGUGUUCAAAGCAGGCCUAUGCUCGAAUACAUUAGCAUGGAAUAAUGGAAUAGNACGUGUGGUUCUAUUUUGUUGGUUUCUAGGACCGCCGAAUGAUUAAUAGGGAUAGUCGGGGGCAUCAGUAUUCCGUUGUCAGAGGUGAAAUUCUUGGAUUUACGGAAGACUAACUACUGCGAAAGCAUUUGCCAAGGAUGUUUUCAUUAAUCAGUGAACGAAAGUUAGGGGAUCGAAGACGAUCAGAUACCGUCGUAGUCUUAACCAUAAACUAUGCCGACUAGGGAUCGGGCGGUGUUAUUAUUUUGACCCGCUCGGCACCUUACGAGAAAUCAAAGUUUUUGGGUUCUGGGGGGAGUAUGGUCGCAAGGCUGAAACUUAAAGAAAUUGACGGAAAGGCACCACCAGGAGUGAACCUGCGGCUUAAUUUGACUCAACACGGGGAAACUCACCAGGUCCAGACACAAUGAGGAUUGACAGAUUGAGAGCUCUUUCUUGAUUUUGUGGGUGGUGGUGC
rnacentral:rRNA from 1 species